rnacentral:rRNA from 1 species
AACGAACGCUGGCGGCAUGCCUAACACAUGCAAGUCGAACGGGAUCCUAGCUUGCUAGGUGAGAGUGGCGGACGGGUGAGUAACACGUGGGAAUCUGCCUUUUGGUUCGGGAUAACCGCGGGAAACUGCGGCUAAUACCGAAUGCCCUCGAGAGAGGAAAGAUUUAUCGCCAGAAGAGGAGCCCGCGUCCGAUUAGGUAGUUGGUGGGGUAAAGGCCUACCAAGCCGACGAUCGGUAGCUGGUCUGAGAGGAUGAUCAGCCACACUGGGACUGAGAUACGGCCCAGACUCCUACGGGAGGCAGCA